UCAGACGAAGAGGAGGAUCCUCAGACCCCCCCCCCGUCUCCCAGCCGAAGAGGACGCACUCUAGGCGUCGCCUCUCUCAUCUCACAACACAGAAGAGACUUAAGGGUGGUUAAAUUUCUAAUUAAGAACAAUACUUAUUAGAAUUGGGUAUCAGGUCUCCCAGCCGAAGAGGACGCACUCUAGGUGUCGUCUCUCUCAUCUCACAACACAGAAGAGGACUUAAGGGUGGUUAUCCUUUUGAUUGCUUUAAUUUGUUUUUGGGAGUUUGUUUGGAUCUGUAACAGAUCUGCCACACAUGCUUGGUUAUCUCUAUGUUCCAGUCAUUGACGGUCCUUGUUUAUUUUUUUUUUAUCGAUUAUCAUGGCCUCAGAACUCCAGGUCGUCUUUUUUCUUCUUUCACAUUUACUGCUCAGACUCGCACCCCAAAGGAGGACUUGUUCUAGAUUUGUAAUUAUCAUGGGGGUUAUUGACAAGAUACAUAUGGCUAUGUUUAUCCUCUUAAUGAUUUGAAUUUUUUAGUCGAUUUUCUUGAGUUCUUCUGUUUGUGCUGAAUGAAAUAAAAAAAAAAUACAGCCUUUUGGAUGUCAAUUCAGAUAAGUUGUUAGAUCUUUGGAAUUGUGAUCUCCAAUCUCUUUGUUGAUAUUCAGCUUUUGAAUCAGCACAGGCAUAAAAUUCAUGAACUUGACAGAUGAAGUUUUGACUAAUUGAUUCUUUUUUGUUCUCUUGAAUUUAUACAGAAUUUUUUGACACAUUUACUGCUCAGACUCGCACCCCGAAGGAGGACUUGUUCUAGAUUUGUAAUUAUCAUGGGGGUUAUUGGCAAGAUACAUAUGGCUAUGUUUAUCCUCUUACUGAUUUGAUUUUUUUAGUUGAUUUUCUUGAGUUCUUCUGUUUGUGCUGAAUGAAAAAAAAAAAUACAGCCUUCUGGAUGUCAAUUCAGAUAAGUUGUUAGAUCUUUGGAAUUGUGAUCUCCAAUCUCUUUGUUGAUAUUCAGCUUUUGAAUCAGCACAGGCAUAAAAUUCAUGAACUUGACAGAUGAAGUUUUGACUAAUUGAUUCUUUUUUGUUCUCUUGAAUUUAUACAGAUGGUGGAUAAAACAUUUGAUGAUGGCUAAAGAUACCGGGUGGGUGGAAACUCUGUAACAUAGCAUGUCCUUGUCCCAGGAACUUCUGAAUAAUACUGAAACCUCAUGUUGAUGAAACUGCAAAGAAGCUCCUUGAAGAUAAAUUUUCUUUAGGACCAGUGGUUCAGAAACUCUGCGCUUUUGCUUGGGUAGUUACUGGACAAAAUGCUUUCAAUCACCAUUCCCUAUCCAUUGCCUGAUCUAAAGUUAAUCAGUGGAUUUUUUUUCCUUUCAAAUUCAUUUAUCUUUUUAUUGGAAAACGUAGCAAUCUUCUAAUCCUUUAUCUGUUUGUUGUUCUUUUCAAAUUCUCAUCACAAAUCAUGAUCUCUCCUGGUAGAUAGUUGUCUCGCUCAUAGUCCUUAAUAAAUCUUCAAUAUAAUUGUUCUUCUUUCCAGUAAGCCUUUGCCUAAUUAUUCAACUUUUUUAAACAGACACCUUUUAGGAUUUUGGUCUGCCUCUCUCUCAACCUUGAAUUUAUUUAUUUUUUUGGGGCAAGAUUCUCACUGUCUAUUCUUAAAGUUCAAUAACUAUUAAAUUUUAAUAUAGCUAAUUGUUUCUGAUAGAAUGCUACCAAAAAGAAUAGUUACGGGAAGAGGAGAUUAAAACCUUAAUGCCCAAAUUUUACAUUUGGGUAGAUGCGAAUGUGAGUUUGGCAUUACUAUGGCAUGGUAGAUGCUUCAUGCAUGCUCUGCAACUGCAUUAAGUUGCAGUGGCAUAUGGGAUAAAACCAGAAUAAGUGGUUUUCAUUCUUUGACACCAGCCAUUGAAUAGUUCUGUUUUUGUUCUAGAGAGGUAUUGGAAAUUAAACUUUGGCUCGUUUCUUCUAAAAAAAUACAGCCCUUUUGGGUGUCUGUUCAGAAAAGUUGUUAGAUAUAUGUGGAUUGUGAUCUCCAAUCUCCUUAAUGUCUUUCAUCUUUUGAAUUGGCACAUGCAUAAAUUUCAUGAAUUUGACGAAGAUAAAAGUUUUGACUAAGGGAGUCUCUUUGUUCUCUUGAAUUUAUUGGGGGAUGCUGGAGAAGACAAUUGAUGAUGGCUAAAGAUACUAUGAGGGUGGAAACUGUGUGCUAUAGUGUGUCCUUGUGCCAGGAAAUCACCUUUCCCUAUCCAUUGCCAGAUCUAAAGAUGCAAGAAUUUAUUUGAAAAAAAAAAUGUAGCAGGUUAAAAUGAGGUUCUCAUCACAAAUUAUGAUCUCUCCUUUAUCAGGGGAAUGGGCAGACAUAGAUGGUUUCUCCCUGCUACUGGAGUACUGGCCACCAUUAUCCAAUUGAAACCCGAAAUUCUCACUCCAUCUAUUAUAAACGAUGCUAUCAUAUUCAUGGCUGUUGUUGCUGUGCUCGUCCAUGUUGCAUGCAGUGCAUUUGAAGAUAUACUUGAAGCUGGCCACUUCAAAUCAAUUGCUGCUGGCACCGGUCGUCUGGCCAGAGCUCUUGCCAUUACUCUACUACUCAUAAUCUGCAUCCCAAAAAUUUGGUGGUUUCUUCUUUCCGCAUGGGUGUUGUUCUUUAUAUGGGUAACUUAUACUUUACGUGAGGAAUUGUCAAAAUUGUGUGAAUCGCUAUACAAUGCAGUUCGCCUUCGCCACGGCCAAGAGCCAAAUGAGUUGCCAGUGUAACCAUACCGAGCCAUUGAAGAGAAUUACGGUUGAUGAAAGACUGUAGUCUAUAUAUAUAUAUAUAUAUAUAAUUGCGUGGUGUGAUUGAAAUUACAAGUGCUAUUUUUACUAGUAUGGCCGCAACUCGGUAACGUUAUCUGUAAUAUAUUGUUUGAAUACUUGCUUUAAGAAAAAGAAAAUAAUCUAAAAUGCCUAUUUAAAGUA